AUGAAAAUACUCAACUCCAGACCACUCUAACCUUUGAAGUGGAAGGAAAGUGGACAACAUGCAGAAACAGAAGGGGACACUAAGCAGAGAGAUGAAAACAUUAAGAAGGAAUCAACAGGACAUGCUGGAAAUCCAAAACACAGGAACUGAAAUGAAAAACACCUUUGGUAGGCACAUAAGUAGACUGGACACAACCAAGGAAGGAAUCUAGAGUGAGGAUAUGUCAAUAGAAACUUCCAAAACUGAAAAGAAAAAAAGAAUGAAAAAGAUGAAACAAUAUCCAAGAAAAGUAGGGAAAUUACAAAAAGUUUAACGUAUGCAUAGUGGGAAUGCUAGAAGGAGAAGAGAGAAAAGGAACAAAGGAACUAUUUCAAGUAAGGACAGAAUUUUCCAAAAUUAAUGACAGAUUAAAACCCACAGUUCCAGGAAGCUUAGAGGACUCUAAAAUGGAUAAAUACUAAAAAAUUACACUUGGGCAUAUAUAAUCAAACAGCAGAAAAUGAAAGGCUAUGAGAAAAUCUUGAAAGAGGUCAGAGGGGAGAAAACAACCAAUGUUGCCUACAGAGAAAAAAUAAGAUGAAUUACAUUGAACUUUUCUUCAGAAACUAUGCAAAAAGAAAAUGGAAUGAUAUAUUUAAAGUCUUGAAGACCUAGAAUUUGAUAUCCAGUGAAAUUAUCCUUAGAAAAUAGAGGAAAAAUAAAGACUUUCUCAGACAAACAAAAAUUGAGGGAAAUUGUCACCAGUGGACUUGCCCUGCAAGAAAUGUUAAAAGAAGUUCUUCAAAGAGAUAGAAAUGUUAUACAUCAGAAAUUUGGAUCUACAUGAAGAAAGUGUUUCUGAGAAGGAAUAAAUGAAGGCUACUAAACAAUGGAAAGGAAGAAGCCACUAAUACCUGGAACAACAUGAAUGAACCUCAGAAUAUUAAGCUGAGUGAAAGAAGCCUUGCACACAAAAAAGCCCGCUCUCCUUCACUAUUGCUAAAUUUCCCACCCGCUUACCAUGGAAAAAGAACUGCAACCUGACCCCCACGCCAGCUGGUGGCAGUCUUAGACACUGACGAGCAGCAAAAUCCCAUGAGACCUCAACUGAUCUGUACCAUAAUCUUAAUCAUCUUCUGGAAUGUGCCUCAUCUAUAUGGCUCCUUGUGGGUGUAUCACAGUUAUCGCCAUAUACAGAAAACUCUGACUGACGUUUCCAGAGCUUUUUGGUGACAGAAGUGAUUUUCACAUUCCCUCAAGCUGGAGCAUAUUUUCACAAGCACUAUUUGGGUUCUUUGGAUCAUUCAUCUUUAAAGUAAGAGAACUCCAUCUUGACCACUUCUAUCAUCUUAUGAUUCAUGGAAAACCAUUGACAACAGGAUUACUGACUGAUCUUGGAGUUGUUAGUUUUUAUCAGUUUUAGUGUUUUUAUAGUUAUUUCAUUGGGUGGUUGUAAGAGGUUUUACUAGGGGGUGUUAGGUAGCACGCACUUUAAAUCAAGCUACCUAUUCAAAAUGUCGGCAUCUUUGAAUUACUAAUUUUAGCAGUAUCUCCCAAGAUAUUUCUGUUGAAGAAUAAUAUUUGUACUGUGAGAGUUAUAUCUGGAACUCCUGUACUCCAGAAUCAAAAACAAAAAUGUGAACCAAUAGUUUCUAUUUCACAGGCUAAUUAAAGCAAGAGAUUUGGUAUAUCUUUUCAAAAAGAAUGAUGAAGGUAGAUAGUGGCCUGGAAACCAGUGAAGCUGAUUGCAAAAUGAAUAUUUAAAAGCCCCUCUGAUUUAAUGUGCUCUUGUUUCCAUUCCCUUUAUUCUUUACAAAGACAAAGAGUCCUCUGUAAAUAUUGCUUUAAGGAUUAUCAGGCUUCAAUUUUCAAUUUUGUCCAAAGGCCAUAAUUUAAACCAUAAUAUUGGCUUUACAAAUGUAAACAGUGAUUGAACCUCUUUCCUUUAGCUAAUAGAAAUGCCAAUGAAAUUAGAGUCAAUUAAAUAAUUGCUUUAUUAACCUAAUGUAUUACUGCUGUAAGACGUGCUGUGGCUCAUCCAGUCAGGAGGAGAGCUAGGAGAGAACAAAACUACAUCAACAUAAAGACAAUGGAAACCAGCAUUUUGUAAAACUUGA